AGAAACAGAAGGCGCCUGUCCCGGCUCCAGCCAGCUUAACUCUUUGGAGAAGCAGUCCGAAGUCCUAGGAAGGGAGGCUGGGUCUUACCGCGAAGGUCGGUGUCCGUUGAAGAUGGGUGAGAGUUUGCCGAAGCCAAGCACCCUCAGGAAGAGGAAGAGAGUACUUUGCAGGGAUUCGAGCAGCGAUCCGCGAGGUCCGGAGAAGCUAACAGUCUUGAUGGAAAUCUGGGGCAAAGAACUGGGAGCCUCUAGCCAGCCCCCUCCGCGCUGCGCCGCAGUCGGAUCCCGGAGCGCUUCUGCGUAACGUCAGCGCGCCGGGUAAUUUACCUUUCCUGCGCGUCUGUCAAUAUGACUAAUUUCCACCCGGGUCAAAAAGCCUUUCUCCGGCAGUCCAUCUUGGAGCGCUCUCUUAACGCGGUAGACGGGGGUGGUUGUUUUGUUUCCACCCUAGAAAUAAAUACUCUUGGGGCGUCCCUGCCAGGGCAGCCCUGAGACGAGCAGGCGAAUAUACACCAUGUCAAUUAAAAGCAGUUUGCCUUG
rnacentral:lncRNA from 1 species